AUACGGAGGGGGCUAGCGUUGUUCGGAAUUACUGGGCGUAAAGCGCGCGUAGGCGGGUUGGCAAGUUGAAGGUGAAAUCCCAGGGCUCAACCCUGGAACUGCCUCCAAAACUGCCAGUCUUGAGUUCGGAAGAGGUGAGUUGAAUUCCUAGUGUAGAGGUGAAAUUCGUAGAUAUUAGGAAGAACACCAGUGGCGAAGGCGACUCACUGGUCCGAUACUGACGCUGAGGUGCGAAAGCGUGGGGAGCAAACAGGAUUAGAUACCCCAGUAGUCC
rnacentral:rRNA from 1 species